rnacentral:rRNA from 1 species
GGCUACAGAACGAACGCUGGCGGCAGGCUUAACACAUGCAAGUCGAACGCCCCCGCAAGGGGAGUGGCAGACGGGUGAGUAACGCGUGGGAAUCUACCGUACCCUACGGAAUAACGCAUGGAAACGUGUGCUAAUACCGUAUACGCCCUUCGGGGGGAAAGAUUUAUCGGGGAUGGAUGAGCCCGCGUUGGAUUAGCUAGUUGGUGGGGUAAAGGCCUACCAAGGCGACGAUCCAUAGCUGGUCUGAGAGGAUGAUCAGCCACAUUGGGACUGAGACACGGCCCAAACUCCUACGGGAGGCAGCAGUGGGGAAUUUUGGACAAUGGGCGCAAGCCUGAUCCAGCAAUGCCGCGUGCAGGAUGAAGGCCUUCGGGUUGUAAAGCUCUUUUACCCGGGAUGAUAAUGACAGUACCGGGAGAAUAAGCUCCGGCUAACUCCGUG